rnacentral:rRNA from 1 species
AUGGCGCCCAAGGCGGGGAAGGCCAAGCCCAAGGCCAAGGGCGACAAGAAGAAGAAGGAAGAGAAAGUUCUGCCGACGGUGCUGGACGUGACCGUGGAGGCGCCGGACUACACCCACCUCACGCUCAAGGGCAUAUCGACGGACAGGAUCCUCGACGUGCGGAAGCUCCUGGCCGUCCACGUGGACACCUGCCACAUCACCAGCUUCUCCCUCUGCCACGAGGUCCGUGGGCCCCAGCUCAAGGACACGGUGGAAAUCGCCGCCCUCAAGCCCUGCCACCUCAGCAUCGUCGAAGAGGAGUACACGGAGGAGCUCGCCGUCGCGCACGUCCGCCGGCUGCUCGACGUCGUCGCCUGCACCACCGCGUUCGGGGUCAAUAAGCCCGAGCAGAAGCCCGCGCCCGCCACCGAUGCGGCCGCCGAGGCCGCCAAGCCAGGCUCGCCCGGCGCCGUGGUCGCCGGUGGCGGCGGCGGCGAGGAGCCCAUGUACCCGCCGCCGAAGCUGGGGGAGUUCUACGACUUCUUCUCCUUCUCCCACCUCUCGCCGCCGAUCCAGUACAUCAGAAGGUCGACGCGCCCGUUCGUCGAUGACAAUAGAGAGGAGGACUUCUUCCAGAUCGAUGUGAGGGUUUGUAACGGGAAGCCAGUGACGAUCGUGGCAUCCCGAGCUGGAUUCUAUCCGUCAGGGAAGCGAGCACUCAUUAACCACUCCCUUGUUGGGUUGUUGCAGCAGACGAACCGUGGAUUUGAGGCAGCUUACAAGGCUCUUAUGAAGGCUUUUGUUGAGCACAACAAGUUUGGAAAUCUUCCUUACGGAUUCCGGUCAAACACUUGGGUCGUUCCCCCUGUUGUUGCGGAUUCACCAUCAGUGUUCCCACCCCUUCCAACAGAAGAUGAAACUUGGGGUGGCAAUGGGGGUGGCCUGGGAAGAGAUGGGAAGCAUGACCAUAGACCGUGGGUGAAAGAAUUUGCCAUCCUUGCUGCAAUGCCUUGUAAAACAGCUGAGGAAAGGCAAGUCCGAGACAGGAAGGCAUUCCUACUCCAUAGCUUGUUUGUAGAUGUUGGUGUCCUUAAAGCUAUUGCAGCUAUCCAGAAUUUGAUCCCCGAUGACAAGAGUUCACAUGAAAAAACAAAUGGCACAGCAAGUUCAGUUCCGCACACACAACAAAUUGGGGAUAUGAAAAUAACGGUAACAAAAGACAAAGCAGAUGCAAGUUCUAAGUCAGAUGUUAAGUUAGAUGGAAGUCAGGCUCCAGGAGUAUCUUUUGAUGAGCUUGCUAAGAGGAACCUGCUGAAGGGAAUCACUGCUGAUGAGAGUGCAACAGUACAUGAUACUGCUACUCUUGGUGUGGUUGUUGUGAAGCAUUGUGGGUAUACAGCUGUUGUCCAAGUUCCGUUGGAUGCUCAACUGACAACCGUUGUUCCAGCGCAGCAGGACAUUCACAUUGAAGACCAGCCGGAGGGAGGUAGCAAUGCUCUCAACGUCAACAGCUUAAGGAUGCUGCUUCAGAAGUCAUGUGUUCAGUCACCUGGAGCAGUUCAGCGGUUGCACAGUUCUGAUCCUGAAGAGAACGAGGCUACCACAAAUUUUGUCCGGAAAAUAAUUACAGAUAGCAUGCAGAAUCUUGAAGGUGAGGCUCCAAGAGAAACAAGACCAAUCAGAUGGGAGCUUGGUGCUUGCUGGGUACAGCAUCUACAGAAUCAAACUUCUGAGAAGGCUGAUGGUAAGAAAAGCGACGAGUCUAAGGAUGUUCCUACAGUAAAAGGCCUGGGAAAACAAUUUGGUCAGCUUAAGGAGAUCAAGAAGAAGUCAGAUGACAAGAGUGGAAAGAGUGCGUCCACAAAAGAUAGUACUUCGCCAAAUACAAACGAUGCACAUUCAGACAACACUGCCAGCACAAAGGAGGAUAAAGAGGCUAUUCUGCAGAAAGCGCUAACAGAAGCUGCUUUCCAAAGACUAAAAGAAUCUGAGACUGGACUUCAUGCUAAGUCCCCCGAUGAAUUGAUUGAGAUGGCAUACAAAUAUUAUGAUGAUACUGCCCUGCCAAAAUUGGUAGCAGACUUUGGCUCACUUGAGCUUUCUCCUGUUGAUGGAAGGACAUUGACAGAUUUCAUGCACACCAGAGGCCUCCAGAUGCGCUCACUGGGACAAGUGGUUGAGCUUUCUGAUAAGCUCCCGCAUAUACAGUCACUGUGUAUACACGAGAUGGUAGUUCGAGCAUUUAAGCACAUAGUUCGUGCAGUUAUUGCAGCUGUCGAUGAUAUAAAUGACAUGGCUCAAUCAGUUGCAUCAUGUUUAAAUAUAUUGCUGGGACCAUUUCCAGAAGAAAAUAAUGAUGUCAAGUGCCGAGAGGAUCAUAAUCUCAGGCAGAAGUGGUUGGAGGUCUUUUUGAUGAAGAGAUUCGGCUUGGCAUGGAAAGACGAAUAUAGCCUUGAUCUAAGAAAGUAUGCCAUUCUUCGUGGCCUCUGCCAUAAGGUAGGACUUGAGCUAGUUACUAAAGACUACGACAUGGAUACACCACAUGCAUUCAGAAAGUCUGAUAUCAUCAGUAUUGUUCCCAUCUACAAGCAUGUUGCAUGCUCAUCAGCAGAUGGUCGCACCCUGUUGGAGUCAUCCAAGACUUUCCUGGACAAAGGAAAACUUGAGGAUGCUGUUAACUACGGCACAAAGGCUCUUGCAAAACUGGUUGCUGUUUGUGGUCCGUAUCAUAGAAUGACCGCAGGAGCAUACAGCCUCUUGGCAGUAGUGCUUUAUCAUACUGGGGACUUCAACCAGGCAACUAUCUAUCAACAGAAGGCUUUAGAUAUUAACGAGAGGGAACUUGGACUUGAUCACCCAGAUACUAUGAAAAGCUAUGGAGAUCUUGCUGUUUUCUACUAUCGCCUGCAACAUACAGAAUUAGCACUAAAGUAUGUGAAUCGUGCCCUAUAUCUUUUGCACCUGACAUGUGGCCCGUCUCACCCUAAUACUGCUGCAACUUACAUCAACGUUGCUAUGAUGGAAGAAGGGUUGGGUAAUGUCCAUGUAGCACUCCGUUACCUGCAUGAGGCGCUAAAAUGUAACCAACGGCUGCUUGGUGUUGAUCACAUACAGACGGCUGCUAGUUAUCAUGCUAUUGCUAUUGCUUUGUCUUUAAUGGAAGCAUACUCGUUGAGUGUCCAACAUGAAAAAACCACUCUACGAAUACUUCAAUCAAAGCUCGGAUCAGAAGAUCUUCGGACACAGGAUGCUGCUGCCUGGCUGGAAUACUUUGAGUCCAAGGCACUAGAGCAGCAGGAAGCAGCACGCAACGGUACUCCAAAGCCUGAUGCUUCAAUAGCAAGCAGAGGCCAUCUGAGUGUAUCAGAUCUUCUAGAUUAUAUCAAUCCAGAUGAUGAGCUCAAGGCUAAGGAAAUGCAAAAGAAACAAGCCCGUGCUAAGAUAAAAGGUCGUAUCGGGCAAAACCCAUCUGAAUUAGCCGAUGAUGAAGAUCAAAGGAGCCCUCCACCUAACAGUGACCGUUCAUCAACUGAGAAGGAAAACUCUGAAGUCAAAGAGAAAUUAACUGAGAAGAAAAAUUCUCAAGUCAAAGAGAAUGGAACCAUUGUUGAGCAUGUGAAAGUGAAACUGGAAGAGGAAAAACCAGGUAACACUGUGGUCCACAUGCCUCAAGAUGACUAUACUGAAGAGAACAUAUCUGAGGAGGGGUGGCAAGAGGCUGUUCCAAAGGGGCGUACCACGGGGAAUCGCAAAACUGGUGCAAGUGUGAGGAGGCCAAACCUGUCAAAGAUCAGUACAAAUGCCAUCAAUAAUAGUGAGAAUGGAAGAUACAAAGGCAGAGUUCCAUCCAACUCUUCCCCUCGAGUUUCACCUAAUGAGGCUGCAGCUUCUGUUGCUUCCAGCCCUCUUGCAAAGAAAUUGGCGAAGAGUUUGAGCUUCAAUUCCAAAGCAGGUAAUCCUACUAUCUCAUCAAACAGUGGGGAGAAUUCACCCAAACCUAAAUCCAUGGCAGCAAGCUUAGCCACCACCCCUGCAGCUGCCAAGGUGAUGCCAUCUGCAGCACCAAUUGUCAGUCAAACAGUAAGGAAGUCACUGUCAUACAAGGAAGUGGCAAUAGCUGCACCAGGAACUCUUGCCAAAGCGUUGAAUGAUGUGCAUACAGAGCAAAAGGAUGCAACUGAACCAGCUGUAAAUAUUGAAAGUGCCAAGGCUCCCAAAGAAAGCAAUGUUCGCCCUUCUGAAGAGAAAAAUGGGGCAAUACAAGUGUCACCAAAGGAUAAUAAUUUGCAAGUAUCAAAAGCAACAGAUGAGCACAAAUCUCCCAGUUCUGAUACUGAACAAGCCAAUGGUUUGGUAGGAUCAAAUCAAGCUGAGAAGACCUCAGAUUCAGCAGAGACAUCUACAGAGAAGAACCAAUCACCAGCAGCACUAGCGGACGUCCCAAAUGAAGAAGCAGCAACUUUGACUGAGGCAAAUGAUUCUUCCUCCAAUGAUGAUGAAAGAGGUCCAGGAGAGGAUAAUCAAGAACAGCUGUCUAGUGGGGCCGAAAAUGAGAAAUCUUCACCAUCUGGAAGUGAAAAGAAUGAUUCACCAGUAGAAGGUGCGAAAGAGACAGCCAGUAAACUUAAUGCUGCCGCUGCUCCAUUCAGUCCAGCCACCGUGCCAGCUUUUGGUUCAAUGGCCGUACCAGGUUUCAGAGAACACGGAGGACUAUUGCCAUCACCAGCCAAUGUGCCCCCAAUGCUGGCCAUCCCUCUCCGUAAGCACCCUCACCAGUCUGCAACCGCAAGGGUCCCUUAUGGUCCACGUCUAGCCGGAGGGUUCAACAGAUCAGGGCACCGGGUGCCUCGUAACAAGCCUGUGUUGCCGAGUGGUGAAGUUCUUCCAGAGGCAGCCACAUCCCCUAAAGUGAUGAAUCCUCAUGCAGCGGAGUUUGUGCCAGGUCAAUCUCGAAGUCCUGAUGGCCAUCCAUCAUCUCCUAAUGAACCUCUGGCAUCGCCAGCUGGUAUUCAAGCAUCACAGGAUGGGCUUCCAUCAUCUCCAGAUAGUACUGUCGAGUCACCCAAGACUGCUUCCCCACAAGUGUCUGAAACUAGUGAGACUAGUCCUGAAGGAAAUGAUACAUCUAGUGGAAUUGAUGUUGAAGCUGAGACUGAGAGCAAGAACACGGAGGAGAAGAACAACCAUGUGGAAUGUGAGGACAGUGAAGUGAAGCCUGAUGAAACUAUAGUUUCUGGAGGUGCUGAAGUUGAUGCAACGGCCCCGAUAGAUGCUCAAGAUGAUGCUUCAGCCCCAAAAGAUGCUCCAGAUGAUUCAAGCGUGACUGAAAAGCCGAAGUCCUGGGCUGAUUACAGUGAUGGAGAAGUCGAGGCCGUUCAGGUUGCGAGCUGA